GUGAAAUUCCGUCGGAAUCUGGGAGGACCAUCUCCUAAGGCUAAAUACUCUCUAGUGACCGAUAGUGAACCAGUACCGUGAGGGAAAGGUGAAAAGCACCCCGGAAGGGGAGUGAAAUAGAACCUGAAACCGUGUGCUUACAAGUAGUCAGAGCCCGUUAAUGGGUGAUGGCGUGCCUUUUGUAGAAUGAACCGGCGAGUUACGAUUUGAUGCAAGGUUAAGCAGUAAAUGUGGAGCCGUAGCGAAAGCGAGUCUGAAUAGGGCGUUUAGUAUUUGGUCGUAGACCCGAAACCAGGUGAUCUACCCUUGGUCAGGUUGAAGUUCAGGUAACACUGAAUGGAGGACCGAACCGACUUACGUUGAAAAGUGAGCGGAUGAACUGAGGGUAGCGGAGAAAUUCCAAUCGAACCUGGAGAUAGCUGGUUCUCUCCGAAAUAGCUUUAGGGCUAGCCUCAAGUGAUGAUUAUUGGAGGUAGAGCACUGUUUGGAUGAGGGGCCCCUCUCGGGUUACCGAAUUCAGACAAACUCCGAAU
rnacentral:rRNA from 1 species